AGGAGGCUAGAGGACUCUGUGAGAAUACACGGUUUCAUCACUUAAAAAUAGAAAUUUUCUCAUCCGAAAUACAAGGAUUUAUCCUUUAAAACAGAGUAAUAUUCGAUUUCUUUUCCUCGAAUUCGAAGUAUUUUUACUCAUCGGAAUCGGCUCAUAAUAAUGAAAGGCUUCCAAACCCGUCAUCGUCUUAGUUCCUGCUCCGAAAAAGGUGAGGUGAUUAGACAGGACAUGACUCAGUUACAGCUUACCGAGGACAUGACCUUAGAUAGGAGGUUGUGGAGGACCCACAUUAGGGUAGAAGGCUAGUACAUAGUCUCGUUAUUCUUCCCUAUUCAUAGGCGCACUAGCACAUUACAAUUCCUUGUACUCUCAUUUCUGCUAUUUCUGUUACUAUUUAAUGCUUUCAGUACUUUUGAUUACUCUA